ACCAUUGAACUCCUUCUGAUCUGAAAUUGAAUGCUGUAGAGCUCCUUUAAACUGCUUCUGGCAUUUAAAUGGCAUUGAAGGAAAGGAUUUCACAGCAGAUUUAAAUGAUUUCUGAGAAACUGAUCCUGAACUGAUAGUUAUUUUGAGGUCUUCUCAGGAUGGAGCAGGACACCUGCCCCGACUGCACCCUGCAUCUUGCAGGAUGCAGGAGCCCUGCCACGAUGAUACCUGCACCUCCACGAGCUGCUGGAGUUCCCGGCUUGCCAGGUCCAUCGCACCAAGGACCCUUGUCAUCCAUAAGAGCAGCAAUCAAGAGAUCUUCUCGGACUUCUAGCCAUAGUGAGCAGCAGAGGGAUAGAAGGCGUCCUGAAAUAACAAUAGUUGCUGCUGAACCUCUGCGGCCAUCCUCCUGGUUUCCAGGUGCAAGCCCUGUUGCUCCUCAAGGAUUAGGAUUCCCUUCUGCUUCACCCCAUGCUCAGUGGAGGACAAAUGAGCUUAUUCCAGCCGAGCUUCCUCCAUCGUAUGAGCAGGUGAUAAAGGAAAUAAAUCAAGUGCAAGUGAAUACAACAAAUAACAAUAAUGCUGCUGCUCCUAGGCAUACCACUACUUCUGCAACACAAACUGACUUUCCACAAGAAUUAAUCAGCCGUUUGCCAGGAAGUAAUGAAAAAAGCAGUGUGCCUACACACGGGGAAUCUACCAACUAUCCAGGGCCAAGUCCCCUGAAACCUCCUAGGCCUUCUGCAUCUCUCUUGAACAGAUCUUCUUCAGAAAAUGAGACUUCCUUAACAGUUUAUGAAAAUUCUGAAGAUCAGAAGCGCCAAGAAAAUCCCAGUGCUGUGAUAUGUCCUGUGCCAAAGCCAAGAUCAAGAAGCAAUCUCAGACCUGUGGUCAAAAAUACUGAAAGUCAGAUAGGAGACAAUGGGGAAGAAGUGAACCAGUCUGACACGAAGAGGCAGCAGUUUUCAGUUCAGCAGUCGUCUGUCUUAGAUGAUAGCUUACUAGACAAUCAAUUGACAGUGGACAGCAUGAGUACAGGCAAGAGCCAAAGCAGUAUUGUUUCAAGGAUCAAAGUUUUUGAAACACAAGGAGCUAAUGAUACCUCAGGAUUAUUAAAGAAACCAGAAAUUGCCCCUCGUUCAUUCACCACAAGACCUGUACCUGCAAAGAAGCCAGUAGUUGCUCCAAAGCCAGGGGUAAACAGAGUUUCAGGAGACUGGGAUGCAUGGACAGAAAGCAAACCAACACCUUCUUCCAGAGAAUUGCAGCUUCAACCUGAUGCAGUUGGGAGUAGUGUUGUAACCAAACCUGAACUGCCAAAGAAACCAAAACCUGGCCUUGUAAAAAGUAGUAGCAGCGAUUUUCUUGAUGCAAAGAGUGGCUCAGUUGCAGAGAAUAGCCAUGAACAAAGAAAGUUUCCUGUUCCUGCCCCAAGGCCUCUUAUUCCUAAAAAGUCACAUUCUGCAGAAAAUCCUGCCCUUUCUUUGGUCCCUUUAAAACCGAUCUCUGCUCCACCACGGACUUCUGUAUCUGCCCAGGAAAAGGUUUUCAAGUCUGUGGGGGAAUUGUCACCCACAAAGAACUCCUCAGCACCUGCUUCGCAAAUUAAGCUAGAUCUGGGAGGAGAUCUGAUCAGUUUUGAUGAUGAUGUUUUGCCCCUUAGUCCACCUUGUGCAGUUAAAGACAGCAUCAGUUGUGAAGCAGCAGCAGAUCCAUUCCAGUUCCUUCCCAAAAUUGAACCAGCGAAGGAGCAGGCAGCUCAGCCAGCUUUAGCACGGAAACCCACUGUUAUCCGAAUCCCAGCUAAACCUGGAAAAUCUUUAGAUGAAAUCCCACAUAGCCCUCCUCCACUUCCUGCUGAAAAGCCUAUUGGCAACACCUCUGACAUCACAGUGGGCAAACCCAACAGUGGUGACCUAGUAAAAAACAUGGACUUGAAUCAUACAGAACAGGCUGGAGCAUCUCAAUUAGAACCUGCAUUACCCCCAAGGCCUGUGGAUGGAAAAAUUGUACCAGCUCGACCUCCCCCACCUAAAGGUGCUCCUGGAAGGCCACCUCCACCAAAACUCUCUACAACCAAGACCUCUUCCCAGAAGGAUGCUCUUUCCCGAUCUACUUCUUAUAUUGCUUAUGAUAAAAAGCCAAGCAAGCUCCGAUUGGGACCCAAGAGAACAAAAAGCCAAGUCUUAAAAAAUCAAGAUCCAGCUUUACCUCCUAGACCUAAGCCAGGUCAUCCUCUCUACAAUAAAUAUGUGGUAAGAGAUUCAAACAGCUCUCCAAAAGUUUCUGACACAAGUGCUCCCCAUGCUGUAGCACUGCAUGAUUUUCAGCAGCACGCUGAUGACUUGGACCUUCGUUCUGGAGAUACUGUUUAUCUUUUGGAGAGAAUUGAUGCCAAGUGGUACAGAGGAAAAUGUGGGAAUCGCACAGGGAUAUUUCCUGCCAGUUUUGUUCAAGUGAUUGUUGAUAUUCCAGAAGAUGGCAAAAGGAAAAAAAUAUCCUGCUCCUCUCAAUCCAUUAAAGGUCCAAGAUGUGUAGCACGAUUUGAAUACAUUGGAGAUGAGAAAGACGAACUCAGUUUUUCUGAAGGUGAAACAAUUAUCCUUAAAGAAUAUAUAAAUGAAGAGUGGGCCAAAGGAGAACUUAGAGGCGCGUCUGGAAUUUUUCCCUUGAACUUUGUGGAAGUAGUUGAAGAUCUGCCUGAAAAAGGAGCACUGAAGAAAAAAGCGGAGGUUUCUUCUCCCCUUCUUCAGAAUAACCAAUGCUCAGUAGAGUGGUGUGAAGCACUUCAUGAUUUUACAGCAGAAACCAAAGAUGACUUAUCCUUUAAAAAGGGAGACUACAUCCAAAUUCUGGAACAAGUAGAUUCUGAGUGGUAUAGAGGAAGACUGAAUGAAAAGGAAGGGAUUUUCCCAGCAGUUUUUGUUCAGGCAUGCUCAGAGACAUCACAGUCUUUAGGAGGGAAGAAAAGAAAAGCAAAAGCUCUCUACGAUUUUCAUGGUGAAAAUGAAGAUGAGCUUUCCUUCAAAGCAGGAGAUUUUAUAACAGAGCUGGAAUCUGUAGAUGAGGACUGGAUGAGUGGAGAGAUACAAGGAAGAUCUGGGAUAUUUCCCAAAAACUUUGUUCAAGUUUUAAAAACACCAUGA
rnacentral:lncRNA from 1 species